GACGUAGGGCGCGAGCGUUGUCCGGAUUUAUUGGGCGUAAAGAGCUCGUAGGCGGCUUGUCGCGUCGUCCGUGAAAACCUGUGGCUCAACUGCAGGCUUGCGGUCGAUACGGGCAGGCUGGAGUUCGGUAGGGGAGACUGGAAUUCCUGGUGUAGCGGUGAAAUGCGCAGAUAUCAGGAGGAACACCAGUGGCGAAGGCGACUACCUGGCCUGUUCUUGACGCUGAGGCGCGAAAGCUAGGGGAGCAAACGGG
rnacentral:rRNA from 1 species